ACACUGGUGAUUCAGUGGUAGAAUUCUUGCCUUCCAUGCAGAAGACCUGGGUUCAAUUCCUGGCCAAUGGA
rnacentral:tRNA from 1 species